rnacentral:rRNA from 1 species
ACACCGCCCGUCGCUCCUACCGAUCGAGUGUUUAGGUGAAUUUGAUGGACGUAGGGAAGUCAGAUAAACCUGAGCACUUAGAGGAAGGAGAAGUCGUAACAAGGUUUCCGUAGGUGAACCUGCGGAAGGAUCAUUCCAUUAGCGCGCGAUUCAUUGGUUCUCAACCUGCGUAAGCAGCGUAAUAAAGGUUUUUUAGCUUUGGAGGUGUCGGGUACUGAUCCGAGGAAGGACGCAGUUACACGCGAUAUUCAACCUGAAUCGCAAAACUGCGGAUGGUCGGGUGUCUGAAUGCUCAAAGCCGGAGCUACUGGUCACGCUCUAACACACCCCUUCGGUGUCUCACUUCCGCGUGAUGUGAGAAUUCCAAAAUAUUUUCACGUGACCACUAGCGGGGCAUGUAGUUAAUUUAAGCUUAUAAGUUAAUACACAAAGAAACUAAAUAGGAUGGACCGAGUAGUGGCGAAUGAAAAGUCCAAAGACCGAUCCGAAUUCAAGUUGUGGAUCCUACACUUCGGAAGACUCCAAAUCACCUGGAACGGUGGGCCGUAGAGAGUGAUAGCCUCUUUAGAGUCGGAAGAAGC